CCUACGUUUUCACUUUUCAGCACAAUUUAACAUCUCUCCCCCUCCCAAAUCAAUUUCCCUCACUACAACCCUUUAUCGAUUUUGUCUCUCAUUUGCAUUUGCGCUUAAGAACUUCUGAGGUACAGUCGUCUCUACUUCGUCGUGGUAUGUAUCAUUGACUUCUUUGCCCAAUUGCACCACAUCACCAAUGACUGGUUGAUUCUGUGUUGGCUAAACCAUAUGAAACAGAAAAAGGAUACGGAAACCCUAGCCCUAGCCUGGGCUGCAAAAUUUGCCACAACAGCUGGUGUGGCUGAUGAUCACAAUAACAAAGUGGAUUAAUUAGCAUAUAUGAUUUUCGAUGUCAACAAUAACAGGUCAAAUAGGUACUCUCUGUCGACUAUCCAAGACCAGAGCUUGACAACACAUCUGAUUUCUUUGAGGCUACUUACUUGUCUUCAGCCUUCCGAACUUCCCCAAUUUCAUCUAAGCUAUUAAACAUUGUAUUUGCUGGUGCAGGUUGAGCUACAAGAUGCUAAAGUGGGUUGUGACUUAGUAUAUGUGAAUCUUUGGCCAAUAUUCAGUUGAAGUGCUGUCAUUGGAAUCUUUUGUAUAUGGCAAUAGUAAUAGAGGAAGAUGGCAUGGAUUCUAUGGCUCAUAGAUUACUUUAUGCAACAGUAAAGGUAAGUUUUCUUCUCAUUGCCCUAAUGUAACUAUUAGUACAAACAUCAAACAUGAAUAACAAAUGUUGGAAAUUCUUUUACAAUUAUCCAAAUGAGUGGUGUUUGAAGUGAUCUGUGGUAUAAUUGUUGCCCAUAACUGCACCAUGAUGGGAGUUACGCCUAUGGGUGCUAAACGGGUUAGGUUCGCGGGUUGGCGGGUUUAAUUCGACCUGAACCCGAAAAUUUUAGAUGAACCCGAACCUGACCCGAACCCGAAAAUCUUGUCAUAUAUAUGAACUCGAACACGACCCGAAUAUUAGUGGGUUGACCCGAACAUGACCCGUACAACCCGAAUUUUCAAAUUUUUUAUUUUUUUCGCAAAUUAAUAUAUUAAGAUUAAAAUUUUAUUAAAAAAACACAAAUGUUUAUAGUAAAAAUGCUUUUUAAAUAUAAAACUUAAUGUCAAACUCGUCUUUUUAAGUUAUAAAAAUGCAUUAAAUACACAUUCAAAUAAAUUUAUGACAUAAAAUAUAUUGUAAAAAAACAAAAUAUAAUAUAAAUGGGUUAAACGGGUCAACCCGUCAACCCAACCGGGUGACUCGAACCCGACCCAUUUAGCCAAACGGUUUAGCAAGUUUAAGAGCUUGAGUGAGCUGAUGAUGAAGCUCUUCCAUCCUCCUCUUGUUCUCCUCCAUCCUUCGCUUAUGGAGCUCGUCAUAGCUUUCGUUUGAGAGCACCAUUCUUGCUUCUCUCUUUGAUGGAGAAAAUGGAGGGUUUUACGAGAUUUUGAUUAGGGGUUUUCUCAGAGUUGACCGUUGGAUUUAUGUAAAUUUAAGCACAUAACAAUUGAUUUAUUUGAACUACUGGAAUUCUGCCCUAUCGGUGUUACUCAAAAUAUUAACCGGACCCAAAACACAAAGUCUAUCAACAGAUGUUUUAGAUCGAUCGUAUACUAUAAAAGCAAAUGUCAUUAAUAGUUCCAAUAUUAUCGAUACAUGUAUUCUUAGAGUUGAUUUACAUUCUGAUGGUUGCAAAUAAUAUUAAAGAAACCCAAACACUAGGUGUUCGCAGUGAUUUAGCAAAUUCUAUAGAAAAGGAAAGAAAAAGAAAAAGAAAAAGAAAAAGAAAUCAAUGGAUAUCAGCGAGAUAUGGAUGCAGAGUAUAUGCCUGGUUUUAAUGUUGAUGUUGAGCAAGAUUAUCAAGAAACUGCUACAAAAAUCUCUAAAAAGGUUGGAGAUGAAGUUUUCCUCAAAAGCAUUCUAAACUCUACCAAGACUCUAGCAAGAGGAAGGGUCGAGAGCUUGGACCCAAAUGAUCUAGUUGGUGGUAUAGAUUGGAUCAGAAUGGUGUGAGGUAAACGUUCAAGUACCAAUAAAAAAAGAUGAAAACUUGGUAAGACCAUACGAUUUAUUUUCUACAAUUUUUAAGAUUGUAUUGGUGCAUCCAUCGCAUGGCCCUAUCCAUUCAUCUCGGUAUGUAUUUGUUAAAUUUGUGAUACAAAUAAUUUUAAUAUCAUGGAACGUAAUGCUUAUACAUGGAUGGUUUAUUUGUAGGUAGUCCAUGAGUAUUGAGGACGCAUGAUGACUCAAGAUUUUAUGCUUCUUAUUCUUUAAUUGAUUUUAAUUUCUUUGCUAAAUGUUAAGACUUUAUGUUAGAUAAUGUUAUAACUUAUUUAUGGGUAGUGUUUUUGUGAUGAACGUGGUUAUUUGAAAUAUAAUGAAGUUUUAUUUCUUUCA